rnacentral:rRNA from 1 species
AAUAGGCUAAUUAAGAGCGUAAGGGGAAUGCCUUGGCUCUCAGAGGCGAUGAAGGACGUGAUAAGCUGCGAUAAGCUGUGGGGAGUGGCACAAACACUUUGAUCCGCAGAUUUCCGAAUGGGGCAACCCGGCAUAUUGAAGAUAUGUCACACUGUAAAGUGAGCAAACCUGGUGAACUGAAACAUCUAAGUAACCAGAGGAAUAGAAAACAAAAGUGAUUCCGCUAGUAGUGGCGAGCGAACGUGGAACAGCCCAAACCUAUGUUGUUACGGCAAUAUAGGGGUUGUAGGACCUCAACAUUUAAUGCUAAUAGAACUAGAAUUUACUGGAAAGUAAAACCAUA